rnacentral:rRNA from 1 species
GACGAACGCUGGCGGCGCGCCUAAUGCAUGCAAGUCGAGCGACGCAUAUCGGAGGAGUAAUCCACUGGUAUGACGGAGCGGCGAACGGGUGAGUAUCACGUGAGGAACCUGCCCCGAAGACCGGGAUAGCCCGGGGAAACCCGGAUUAAUACCGGAUACUCUCUACAGAUCGCAUGGUCUGUUGAGGAAAGGCCUUUGUGCUUCGGGAUGGUCUCGCGGCCUAUCAGCUAGUUGGUGAGGUAAUGGCUCACCAAGGCAACGACGGGUAGCUGGUCUGAGAGGACGAUCAGCCACACUGGGACUGAGACACGGCCCAGACUCCUACGGGAGGCAGCAGCAGGGAAUCUUGUCCAAUGGGCGAAAGCCUGAGACAGCGACGCCGCGUGGGGGAUGAAGGCCUUCGGGUUGUAAACCCCUUUCAGGAGGGACGAAAUUGACGGUACCUCCAGAAGAAGCCCCGGCCAACUACGUG